GUGGCGCAGUUGGUAGCACUGUUGCCUUGCAGCAAGAAGGUGUUGUGUGUUGUGGCGCAGUUGGUAGCACUGUUGCCUUGCAGCAAGAAGGUCCUGGGUUCGAUUCCCGGCCA